GUACGAUGAUCUUGGUGCUUGCACUGGGGGAUUAGUGGCGAACGGGUGAGUAACACGUGAGUAACCUGCCUUGGACUUUGGGAUAACUGUUGGAAACGGCAGCUAAUACUGGAUAUGACUCAGUCUCGCAUGGGGUUGGGUGGAAAGUGUCUUUUGAUGCGGUUUGGGAUGGGCUCGCGGUCUAUCAGCUUGUUGGUGGGGUAGUGGCUUACCAAGGCUUUGACGGGUAGCCGGCCUGAGAGGGUGUCCGGCCACACUGGGACUGAGAUACGGCCCAGACUCUUACGGGAGGCAGCAGUGGGGGAUAUUGCACAAUGGGCGCAAGCCUGAUGCAGCGACGCCGCGUGGGGGAUGACGGCCUUCGGGUUGUAAACCUCUUUCGAUGUGGAAGAAGCUCAUGCUUGUUGGUGUGGGUGACGGUACAUGUUAAAGAAGCGCCGGCUAACUACGUGCCAGCAGCCGCGGUAAUACGUAGGGCGCAAGCGUUGUCCGGAAUUAUUGGGCGUAAAGGGCUCGUAGGCGGUUGGUUGCGUCUGCUGUGAAAUUCUCUGGCUUAACUGGGGGCUUGCAGUGGGUACGGGCUGGCUUGAGUGUGGUAGGGGAGAUUGGAAUUCCUGGUGUAGCGGUGGAAUGCGCAGAUAUCAGGAGGAAUACCGAUGGCGAAGGCAGGUCUCUGGGCCAUUACUGACGCUGAGGAGCGAAAGCAUGGGGAGCGAACAGGAUUAGAUACCCUGGUAGUCCAUGCUGUAAACGUUGGGCACUAGGUGUGGGGUCUGUUCCACGGAUUCUGCGCCGUAGCUAACGCAUUAAGUGCCCCGCCUGGGGAGUACGGUCGCAAGGCUAAAACUCAAAGGAAUUGACGGGGCCCCGCACAAGCGGCGGAGCAUGCGGAUUAAUUCGAUGCAACGCGAAGAACCUUACCAAGGCUUGAAAUAUGGGGAAAUCCGGCGGAGACGUCGGGUCGGUUUUGUCCGGUUCCUUACAGGUGGUGCAUGGUUGUCGUCAGCUCGUGUCGUGAGAUGUUGGGUUAAGUCCCGCAACGAGCGCAACCCUUGUCUUAUGUUGCCAGCGGGUAGUGCCGGGGACUCAUGGGAGACUGCCGGGGUUAACUCGGAGGAAGGUGGGGAUGACGUCAAAUCAUCAUGCCCCUUAUGUCUUGGGCUUCACGCAUGCUACAAUGGCUGGUACAAAGGGUUGCGAUACUGUGAGGUGGAGCGAAUCCCAAAAAGCCGGUCUCAGUUCGGAUUGGGGUCUGCAACUCGACCCUAUGAAGUCGGAGUCGCUAGUAAUCGCAGAUCAGCAACGCUGCGGUGAAUGCGUUCCCGGGG
rnacentral:rRNA from 1 species